UACGUAUGUCCCGAGCGUUAUCCGGAUUUAUUGGGCGUAAAGCGAGCGCAGACGGUUGAUUAAGUCUGAUGUGAAAGCCCGGAGCUCAACUCCGGAAUGGCAUUGGAAACUGGUUAACUUGAGUGUUGUAGAGGUAAGUGGAACUCCAUGUGUAGCGGUGGAAUGCGUAGAUAUAUGGAAGAACACCAGUGGCGAAGGCGGCUUACUGGACAACAACUGACGUUGAGGCUCGAAAGUGUGGGUAGCAAACAGGAUUAGAUACCCCGGUAGUCC
rnacentral:rRNA from 1 species